AGCUUUCGUGAAUCAAGAGUGAAAGCUACUGACCGGCUAAAUCCACGUUAUGAUUAAUCGCCAUCCACUGCACUUUGGCCGAUUGCUCGUUAUGUGAAGUUAUUAGGUUGUUCUAACUUAAAUUGUGCACGGUGUAUAUCUGGUUUUGUAAAUAGAUUCAACCAUGAAAAUAUAAUUUGGAGGCCUUUGACAGAAAAAGCUGCCUGGCUCAAAUGAGUGAAAUCUACCCACGAAGCCCGUAUGGAAAAAGCUACCUACUUUGAUGAGUGAAGAGCUCUUUAUGAGAAAAAGCUGCCUCGAGAGAUAGAGUGAGAGCUACCACACUAAUUAAAAAUUUAGUGAAAAUGGAAAAAGCUACCUACUCCGAUGAGUGAAUGCUACUUAUGAAAAAAAGCUACCGUCAAAGAUAGAGUGAAAGCUAACGUCAGAAGCUUCGUUAGUAAAAGCUUUUGUGAGUCAAGAGUGAAAACUGUUGACCGGCUAAAUCCACGUUACGAUUAAUCACCAUCCAUUGCACUUUGGCCGAUUGCUCGUUAUGUGAAGUUAUUAGGUUUGUGUGAACUUAAAUUGUGCACGGUGUGUAUCUGAUUUUGAAAAUAGAUUCAACCAUGAAAAUAGAAUUUGGAAGCCUUUGACAGAAAAAGCUGCCUGGCUCAAAUGAGUGAAAGCUACCCACGAAGUGCGUACGGAAAAAGCUACCUACUUUGAUGAGUGAAAAGCUAUUCAUGAGAAAAAGCUGCCUCGAGAGAUAGAGUGAGAGCUACCACGCUAAUUAAGAAUUUAGUGAAAAUGGAAAAAGCUACCUACUCCGAUGAGUGAAUGCUACUUAUGAAAAAAAAGCUACCGUCAAAGAUAGAGUGAAAGCUACCGUCAGAAGCUUCGUGCGAAAGAGCUGCCGUGAGUCAGAGUGAAAGCUACUGACUGGCUAAAUCCACGUUAUUAGAUUUAACCAUGAAAAUAUAAUUCAGAGGCCUUUGACAGAAAACAAAGCAACCUAUCACGGAGGACUAAAAGCUACCUACGACGCGCGUACGGAAAAAGCUACCUACUUUGAUGAGUGAAGAGCUAGUCAUGAGAAAAAGCUGCCUCGAGAGAUAGAGUGAGAGCUACCACGCUAAUUAAAAAUUUAGUGCAAAUGGAAAAAGCUACCUACUCCGAUGAGCGAAUUAAUGCUACUUAUGAAAAAAAAGCUACCAUCAAAGAUAGAGUUCCGUCAGAAGCUUCGUGCGAAAGAGCUGCCAUGAGUCAGAGUGAAAGCUAUUGACUGACUGGCUAAAUCCACGGUAUAUUAAUCACCACACAUUACACUUAUUUAUCAAUUUUGAGUUUAUCUACAAACUAGUUAAAAAAAAUUAAAAAUUCCUUGCUUUAUCUUGUGGAACC
rnacentral:lncRNA from 1 species